rnacentral:rRNA from 1 species
UACGUAGGGUGCGAGCGUUGUCCGGAAUUAUUGGGCGUAAAGAGCUCGUAGGCGGUCUGUCGCGUCGGUCGUGAAACUUGGGGCUUAACCCUGAGCUUGCGGUCGAUACGGGCAUGACUGGAGUUCGGCAGGGGAGACUGGAAUUCCUGGUGUAGCGGUGAAAUGCGCAGAUAUCAGGAGGAACACCGAGUGGCGAAGGCAGGUCAUCUGGGCCGAACUGACGCUGAGGAGCGAAAGCAUGGGGAGCGAACAGG